CGGUCACGAUACAAUAAAUCCUUAAGUAAAUGAAUGAAUGAUGCACAUUACCCAGGGGAAAGACUUUGCUCUUAAAUUACCAUAAUUAAUUUUCAUGGUUGCUUGGUUAAACAAAAGUGCUCAGUGAUCAAACAUAAUUGAUUUUUUUAAUACUGAAUAAGUUUUAUAUUAAAUUGAUCAAAAAGCAUCUUGGUAUGCGCAGCCAACAGCAGAGUCCCUUACUCCCCAUUCCCGAUUGUACGGUUUAGAUAUAAACGCCCCCACCCCCAAGUCUCACGUGCUCAGAGGUAAGGAUUUUGGAAGGUGAUUGGAUUUUGAGGGCUCUAAUUUAGAAUUGAUCCAUUGAUGGAUGAGUCUAUAGCUGGUCCCUGGCUCUUUUCUGUCUGGUUCUUUCCUUUCCCCUCUGCUCUGUGGCUUCCAUGAGGUGAAUGGCUUCCUUCCAUCACAUCCUUCCGCCAUGAUAUUUCUGCCGGAAGUGGCCCCCACCCAGCAUAAACGGAAACCAUGAGCCAAAUGUAACCUCUCCUCCCUUGAGGUGUGUAAAUUGUUGUGCCCUGUCAACAGAAAGGUGAUAAAACGCCAGUUCAGAGGUACAGCGACUGUGCCAGAGGGAGAGCCUAUUGACUUCUCAUUUCCAUAUCCAGCUCCACGCUGCACAGCAUCUACACAGCAGGAGAAGAAGCCCAAAAUUACUACUUUGUUAUUGUAAAAGCAUUCUGUGAAUGGAAGACUUUUAUACCAUUAGAAACUGAUCACCCACCGAUGACACCUCAUGGUGAGGCUGGUGUCACACACAACAGGGUAGAAAAACAUCAUGGUUUAGAUCAAGAAUGUCCCCCUAAAGGAUACUGUGUGCAACAGCAGGGCUUGUGGAAGGUGACUGGAUUAUGGGAAUGCGAGGGGCUUGGCUGGAGGUGGGGCAGGCGGCCAUGAGUUGGAGAAUUGAUCUCUCUCUCUCUCUCCUUCUCUCUCUGCUUCCAGAGAACCAUGAUGAGAGCAUCUUUUCUCCACCAGACCUCCCGCCAUGCCCUUCCUGCCUUGGAGCCAGUUGACUGUAAAGACCAUGAGGCAAAAUAAACCUCUCCUCCUACAAGCUUCAAGGGUCAGAUAUUUUAUCCCAGCAGUGAGAAAGAGACUGAGACAAUAAACUUUUCCUGUAAAUGCAAAAUGGUAAACAUUUUAAGCUUUGCUGGCCACAAAGUCUCCGUCUUGACUAUUCAACCUCGCCAUCGUGGUAGGAAAGCAGCCAUAGACAGUACAGAAACACGAGGGCAGUUGCGUUCCAAUAAAACUUAUUAGUAC
rnacentral:lncRNA from 1 species